rnacentral:rRNA from 1 species
AUGAGAAGAUUGCAUCAUAAUAAUACAUUACCAUGGCUUCUGAUUGGGGAUUUGAAUGAAAUACAAUUCCUACAUGAGAAAGAAGGUGGUAAUCCAAGACCACACCAGUAUAUGCACGCCUUUCAGGCAGCCAUUGAGGAUUGCGAGUUGAGGGACAUGGGAUAUGUGGGAGACCAAUUCAUGUGGUUUCGAGGCAGGAUUAGAGAACGACUGGUUAGGGGCUUGGUUAAUGAUGCAUGGUCCACUCUUUAUCCUCAUGCCGCAUUACAAAAUUUAAACUAUAAUCAUUCAGAUCAUAGACCCUUGUGUGUGGACACAGAGUAUUACUCGGGAGUGGCGGCCAAUGGUGCAACAAGCAAGAAAUUUGAGGCGAGGUGGCUGCGUGAAUAG